UCCACAGUCAAAGGACCAAUAUUGUGGUA
rnacentral:piRNA from 1 species